GGGGCUGGGGCGGGGCUGGGGCAGGGCUGGGGGGUGGAGCUUAGGGGAGGGCGGGGCCAGGGACAGACCAGGGGCCGGGUACCUGGCGUGGCUCCUUGGCCAGGGACAGUGGGCCCAGGCUAAGGCCAAGGUGGAGCCAGGGUCGGCUCUAGGAAGGCCAGUGUCUCCCAGGCUGGGUGGUCCUGCAGUGUGCAGACUGGAGCAGAAGGUCACUCCACAGUGGCUGCAUGUGGGAUGUGCAGUGAGGGGACUCUUCCACCCCAUCACAGGGACAGUCAGUGGCACCAGAGCUCCUCGGCCCUGCGGGGACCAGCAGGAGAGUCAGAAAUUUUAUACAGCGUCUCAUGCACCUCAUCCUGUGUUCUUCCGGGCUGAUGUUCUAGAAUUUCUCCGGAAGGCGAUCAGAAUUGAUUCUCAGAAGAUUGGUGAAGGAAAAAGCUUUGAAGGGUGAUCUCUCUGGGCCAGGCUAGUGGCCACUAUUUGGAAAACAAUGGCUCUCUUCUCCCCGGCAGGUGAGUUGGCCCCGGUCAUGAGUUACAUAGGCUUAGGUGGGCUUUGAUACCUUAAGUCGUAUAUUUGCCAUUUGGAGAAGUGGUGAGUGCAUUUAAGGAAAAACCCUAAAAAAAUAUGUUUAGGGAAAUAAACUGUUCAGGGAUCACA
rnacentral:lncRNA from 1 species